CGGGAGACGGAAAAAAGUCUCGGCCGAAGGUGCCGGGAUCCGCGAGGAGAGGCAGUGAUAUCGGUGGCACGCCGGGCUCAGGCUCUUCCCGUGGCUGUCGCCGCUGUGUCGCCCUUCGCACGCCCGCGGUACCUCAGCGGGAGACGCGCGGUCGCUGGGACGCAACCGAAGCGGAGCGGCCGCGGGAAGGGCCGAGGCGGCUCCGGGGGACUCGGAACGCGUUCCCCACAGUGGCCCCUUUGAUGUUCUGCCGUGCUUCUCUCUUACAGAAACCCGAGCUGUCCCGUGCUUACUUCCCUGAGCCAGGCUGAUGUCAGGGCUGUGCGUCGUGGAGCCGGCUGUGAAAUCCUUCUGACAGCCCUGCUGGGGUCUCUCCUCCUGGAAACUCCCAACGCUAACAGGCCCUGCUGCGCCCAGCUUAGGCAGGUUCACUUCGUUCUCUUUUUCUUCUCUUUCUCUCCUUUAUUUCCUUCUUUCCCCCUUUCUUUUCUUUUAUUUUUUCUUUCUCCUUUUUCCUUUUUUUCUUUUUUCUUUUUUUUCCCCCUUUUUCUUUUCUUCUUUUUCUUCUCUCUCUCUCUCUCUCUCUUUUUUUUCUCUCUCUCUUUUUAUUUUCCUUCUCCUUUUUUCUUCCUUCCCAUCCCCAACCCACCCGCUCCCAGGGGCCAUUUUGAGUUCCCCCGUGCCUCACUCCCUGCCAGUCCCCACCCGGGGCCGGCAGUCGGUGCGCGGUGUGGGCCGUGCAGGAGCUGCGGGCUGCAACCGCUGUCUACGUUUUCCAUCAUUGCCGGGCGGAGAGAGGUGCUGUGAGGCGCGUCCCUCCACCGCAGAAAAGCGGGGCUUCUCUGGGCGUCUGCUCGCAGAGGAAUUACCGCUCCUCAGCAAGUAGGGCUCACAGGCUCGCGUUAACGUAUCAGCCGCAUGUUACCGCAAGGUAACAGCCGCAAGGCACUGCUCUGCUCGGAGCCGCGGAGCCCCCGGGCAGCCUCAGGGGGGAGCGGGGCGGAGACUGCGCCCAGGUCCGGCAUCGCUCCGAGCCGCUGCCCGCUGGGAGAACGGUGCUCCGCGACGGCUGCUUCCUUUUUUUCUUUCUUUCUUUUCCUUCCCAAUUUUCCCUCUUCAGAAGUGCGGUGCGAAUGAAGGCUGGGGCGGGGGAGGCUGCCGAGGGACCGCGGAUCCCGCUGGCCGGGAGCGCUUCUAAGCGCCCGACCCCGGGCGGCGGCGACAGAGCUGGAACGGGCGUGGGGAACCGCCGGGACGUGGGGACAUGUCAGCACGGCCCGCGGGGAAGAGACGCUCCUCCGCUCCCAGUCCCCAGCAGAUAAAUCUGCCGCGUGCCCGAGAUUUCGGGAUUGCUCCAUUCAGCCAGUGGGGGACGUGUAAGGUGCAGUAGUUGGGGCACGGCGUCCCGACAGAGCAGCAGUCGUCACCCAGCAGCUCUAUGCCACGGCACUCAGGAUUGUUCCGAGCUUCUUUAUGGCACUUCGGUCUUAGAGUUGUUUCUUGUAUUUUACCAUCUCGCUUCAUAACAAACGCAUCUCAUUUCCUGCACCCCAUGAACAGCCCCAUGUGUGAAACUGUUCUGCAGCUUUUAUUUUCUCUUACUGGGGAGCUUUCCGAGCGGUAGAGGAAGACAAUCAGCCGUGGCUGAGAACAAGGAAGCUGUAUUUUCUUCCUCAUUGGUAACUGCUGGGGAAAGUUGGGGGAAAGCAAGAAAAAAAUAGUGGUGGUUUUCUUUUCCCCCACCUGAUUUGAUUGGAACUAAAAGUUUGAGGUGAUUUCUACCAAAGUCACACCAAGGUGGCUCUGACAGAUUGAGGAAAGGGCAGAGAACCGAGGAAAGCGUGUGUUGCGAGUCUGAGGGGAAUAAAAGCAAAGGCACGUGGCGUUGCCGGGACUGUGGCUGCGCAGUGGGUGUGCAGCGUUUUCGUCCCGGUUCGCGGCGAGCAGCCUGGCAGUGAGCUGCCUGCAGGGCUCCUGCCAACAGGUCGCCAUGGGGCUGAGCCUUCCGUAGCUGCUGUGGGGCUGCGGCCAUGAGUGUGCAGUGAUAGAGCUGCGCUGCCCCGGCGGGCUGCGCUCCCACCCGCGGGUUGUUUCAUUUUACUUCAGUUCUGGGAAGUAUAAAAACUGCACGGAGACUUGCUGUAAGAAAGCACGAUGUCAAGCUGCUGAUGAGUUAAAAGAAAAUAUAUCAAGAAGGGGAAAUAUAGUAUUUAUAGAUCCUUCGCAGUGACAUCUUUCAGCGGUUAUCACUGGGUCACACCUCCGCAGAUGUGUUCUCGGUGAAGCCGGCUAUUGGGUUUUCAGGCUGCCUACCGAAAGCACAGCUCCACGUGCCCUGCAGUUUGCAUCCCCCACCUUCUGGUGCCUACAGAGAUCAAUGAAUGCACUCUCUUGGGUCGAGUGCUGCCUCCUGGCCCCCAGUCAGUAGGUGCCACUUGUUUGUGCGGUGCUCUCGUUAAAUGCAUGAAAUGCUCGAGCUGUCACUGCUUCCUGGGUGAUGGGGAAAGGCAGAAUGUGCUCUGGCACAGGGCUGUGCAGGAUGGUGAUGGUGAGGAUGGCGGGGUGGCACCCCUGGGCUGCGGGGACAUGAACCCUGCAGGUGUGAGCCUCAUCCUUCCCUCCUCGCACCUUUGCAUGCUUCCUCUGUGAGCUCGGGCGCUCAGACCAAUUAAUUCCAUUAGCAAAGGGUGUAAAUUAGAAGUGUCUGUGAACUGUAUUGAACCUCAAUUUGCACGGUCUUAUUCACAACAAAAGUGGCUGCAAUUUGAUUUAAAUUAAUUCACUUUCAGAAUAAAAUAACACUGAAUAGAAUAAAAGCAGCUUUAGUUUUGAAUGGUUGUCUGCAUAGAAUUGUUUGUGGUUUAACUAAUCCACUUUAAAAAUUAACUCUAUUAAUUUUUGUGGGCUUUUCCAUCUAGGUUAGCUUGCUUUGUCUCUUUCUUUCAGUCUCCUAUCAGUAAAAUGGAGAUAGUAAUAGCCUGCUAGCAUCUUAAAAUCACUGUGUUGAAUACUCUUGGUAACUGCAGCAUUUUGCCUUCCACUCGGUGUGUACGUUCCUCAAAAGCCAGGACUUGAUUUUCUACACAUGUGCAGAAUUCUUGCCUGGCAGUGUUUUACAGGCUCUGUAUGCAGCUGUACACGGCCACACAAGACAGAUAGCAGUGGGGAAUUAAGGCUUUGCUGCGCGUUUUGAACUCUGACCAAACAUCUCCUUGGCUUUGGCUCCGUGUUUUCUUCAAAGACUGUGGGCCAAGACUUAAGAACUGUCUAACUUUCGUCAUCUUAAUGAACGGCUUCAGUGGUGUUAAUGGGAACUGGGGCGCUUUCUUUAUUAAUGGAAAUCAGGUCACUUAAUUACCUAACAAAAAUGCACGGAACCUUGUCUCACUGUUUUCUGCACUUCACGAAUUAUGAACUUUAAUCUGUCUUAGAGAGAGCUCUGCUAAAAUGGAUGAAGCUGUAGCCGGUAUAAAAUUAUCUUUUUGUAAUGGAAAUACUUCUUGUAAAAAUGAACACACUAACAUGACUUUCUUAUUGGAAGUCACUGCUAUUUAAGUCUUUGCAGCGAUGUAGCAUGGUUUGACUAGCUGGUGGUACAUAACGACUGAAAGGCCGGAUGAACACAUCAGCACAUCUUCUGUCAAAAGUGGGAACACUGAGAUAUUAUUAUUUUUUGAAAUCAAAGCUUGGUGGGUUUUGGACUGGAAGGAUUCUUUUCUUUCUUCCCAUCCCUCCCCCCACCCUACUGUCUGCUUCAACAUUUCCCUUUCUUUCUUGAGUGGUUUCACUCCAAGUGGGACUUCUUUUGUGCCUUUCGGUUGCCAAAAGCUGGAGAGUUGUCAUUAUUUGAAUUUUGCUGUUGGUUGUUCUUUUAAAAUAAAAACCAAGAUGUUUUCCAGAGAGUUAGGAAGGAACCAGUUCUCGGGAAGCGCUAAGGAAACAGUAACGGCUUUAGCUGAGGGAAAAGUAUAAAUCAUCUUCAGGCUUCAAAUCUAGCUGUUAAGAAUAAAGCACAUCACCUAAUGCUCUAAAAAUACCCAUGUACAUAGACUAUGUACAUACAACAAAAAUAAGCAACCCUAGAUAUUCUGGCAAGAUCUGUGGUAUUUUAUUUCACUUCCUCAGUAACAGUAGUCAUUGUUGGCACCUGGAAGUGACUGUGAAAAUACAGAUCCCUGUAAAGCUGGGUAAAUAAAGGGACAUGCUCCACUUCUGCUUGUCAGUAGAAGAAACUAUGACGUUGACAAAAUUAUUAAUGAAAAUAUUUUCUCAAUCUCUGCCAUAAAAAAAUGCAGGGGCAAAAUAAAUCCUCGGUAAAAUCUGUUCCCGAAAUAAGCAGGCAUAAAAACAAUACCGAGCCAGAGACUUCGACUGCCACAGAAUUUGGUUAAGGAUCUUAAGACAAAAAGGUAACCUGUUUUUCCACGAACUCAAAGCUACAAAUGCUGGCAUGAAUGUGUGUCCAUGAGGAGAACAGCCAUCUUAAACAGCAGAAAGUUCCCUUUUGUCCAUCAGCCUUUUUCAGAGGGAAAGAAACUGCUGUUGUCUUGGUUGUCCUCGGCAUUGUGUAUUAGAACUGCCUGCUCCAAAGCAGGACUUUCUCUGAUCCUAUCGUUAACAUUGCAUCUGAUCCUGCUGAGCUAACUGGGAAAUCUUGUGUUGACUGAAUAUGGCUUUUGCUUGAAUAAAGAAGUUGAAGAGCUCUCUGGAAGAGCUGGGCCUAAUUCCAAUUUUCUUCUCAGUUCUAAAAUAAAAGGAUGCUGUCAAGGUAUUUGUGAUUUAUGGGGGCAAACAUGUUUCUCUCCUUCAAAAUCUUACAUUGCUUUGGCAGCAGUUUAGUUUAACAUCUUUUUUGAUUGAUUUUAUUCUAUGUACCUUUUCUGUUUAUGCAGGAUUGAAAAUAAAUGUGUUCUUUAUAUUAGAGGAAAAGAGAUAAGACUUUCUCUUUGGGAGGAAAGCGUGCUCUCAGCGGGGUUCUGAGGACACGUCAGGCUAAUUGUUGAUGACUAAAACUGCUCUUUGUGGUGCAAGAGAUGAAAAAUUCUGUGUGGACUGUAGGCUUUCCAAAACGCUAAAUGCUUUCUUUUGCUUGGUAAGUUGUUUCUUCAUGUGUUUUAUUUCCAUGGCGGAUGUUAACUGAGGGACGUAAAAUUCCUGCCAGGGAACACGCUGCUUUUGGUGCUCACAGGGCUGCUGGUACUCACCUUUGACAGAAGCCAAGGCUCUGUGCUGGGACCUGGGCCACACCAGCUGUGGGGCUCGGGGUCCCUCAGAGCCCUGCUGCCUCCUCAGCCCCACUGCCUGUCAGCACUCUUGCUGCCACGACGCUGCUGAGGCCUGGUGCUGGGGGUGUCAUAGACACUCUAUUCCAUGUUUCCUCUGUUGCUUUGUUUGUCACCAUCGAAUGUAUUUUUUACUGUAGCUUUUUUGCUUCCUUUUCUGAAGCUUUUUUUUUUCUUCUUCUUCUUCUUCCAAACCAUCACUCCUGCAUGGAAAACUGUCCUCCCUGGCUGUCUGUAGGCCCUGCUCCUCCGCCUUUUUUCCUGCUUUUGAUUCUCCCUUAAUUUUCUGCUACUCUUGGAGGGGUACACUCCAGCUUUGCUCCCUUCUUUCUUCCUGUACCCAUCAGGUCAGGCCCGAGGACAUCCUGAGGACAGCGGCUCACAGAACUUGCUUUCAAGCAAUAACUUCUCCCCAGCCAUGUAGAGGUCUUUAACAUCUUGUUUUGGUAGGCUCUCACACUUCCCCCCACUACCUCUCUGGUCUUUGGCCUUUACACAGUCAGUCAGUGUUUUCUUCCCCCCUCCCUAAAGCUUUUGUCUCGCCUGCUUCCUCAGAGGUAGCUGACAGCAUCAGUUCUUCCAGAGUUGAUGGUUUUUUAUGCAGGUGUCCUCUCUGCCUUCUUGUUUGCAUAGUUGGGAAGACUGCAUCCAAGUGUGGCUAACAGGUCUUCCUACCAGAGCAAUGAAUACUUUGACUCUUCUGGUAGAUAGACAAGACUUUGUGGAGGCUUUCCUCCGGCUUCCCAUACACAUUCUCCUGUCUCUGCCUCUGGGCUGUCUGGCUCACCUGUCUGGUUAACAGCUCUGACCACAUCACUGCUGGCUCCCUCAUUCCCUCCCAAAACACCCUGUCUUCCCUCCUUGUCCCUUCCCAGCCCUCCCCUUCCCUAAUCCUUGACUUCUGCCUUACCACACUCCCUCCUCCCUUCUCCCGCUGGUCCACCAAAGCCAGAUGUAUCUGCCCUCACUCUCUCCCUGCUAGCGCAUCUCCUGUAAUGCCUUCAUAUUUUUGGGGGGCCUAACUGCAGGCACUGCAAACCAGGGUAUUUACUAGAUAUGCCUGUAUGCACAAGCUCCCCAAAAUUUCACCUUAUCCUUGGACCUCCUGGUGGCUGAGACCCCCACACUGAGGUACUUCACAUGUGGUUUUAUUGCAAGGUGACCUUUCAGAGUAGCGGCACUUGGAUUUGAUCAGGCGUCCACCUCGGUAGGUGACUCGGGUUGACACAAUCAGUGGGGAUUUUUUGCUCCUGAUAGGGGAAUUCCAAGCACCAGCUGCAGCCCUGAGGUCUGUCAGGGAGGACAGAGGUGAGAGGGAUGAGCUCCAGAGACCUCUCUGCCUUGGGUGGGGACGAACAGAGUGAGCAGAAGUAGAAUGUUUCCUACAUGGACUCUUUGUUGAGGAAAUGGUCUGACAAACUUUCCUGCUCUGAGAAGUGGCCCGAUAGUAGUAACAAGGACAAAGAAAAAUCCUGCUGCUGUUCACUAUGGGGAUGGGAUUAUCACUCGAACUAAGUGCAGUGCCAAUCUGAAGUAAGUCAGUGCUUGCACAGUGAGUGCAAACCACUCAGAUGCCCCCCUUCCGAAGACAGGUCCCCAGCAGGGCUCACGUGCUCAGGGUAUGGUUCCAUCCAAUGUGCUGCUUUUCCUGUGGUUUCAAAACUGCCAGAGCACGUGCUUCAUGUGUUCUCCUAGAGUAGCCCACCUGGAGAUCAUUACUUCUGUUGUUAACAGACCUAUGCUUCAUUUGUUCAUAUACCGGAAAAUAAAAUAACUUAAAUUAUUUGGAUGUAAUGUCUUGGUUUCAGCUGGGAUUGAAUUGUUUUCUUCAGAGUGUCUGGUAUGCUGCUAUGUUUUGAUUCUAGG
ensembl:lncRNA